GGGGUCGACCGGAAUUGACAGGAUGGAGAUAAGUAAGUAAGCAUACCGUGCAUUGUAUGUAUUAGCACGUUAAUCUGAACAUUCAAAACCACAAAUGGCGAAAAUAACUACGCCUUAGCUGCCUAAUUUAGAAUUAGCAUAGCUUUUGUCCCGCCGGUUUUGCGUCCCAAUGGAUCGGCAACCGGGGCAUCGAAAAUUGGAACUGGCCCGUUGAUGGUAUUACAAACAGGCGAGAUAAAGUACCUACGGAUAAUAGUAUAGGCAAGCGACCGGCCUUCUGAUAUCCCGACAAUUAAACGCAAGCUAAGUAUGUAGAAAGCUUACCUUAUACCAUGUUUGGACGAGGGUUCGAAUCCCUCCGGCUCCACCC
rnacentral:tmRNA from 1 species